AGAGUUUGAUCCUGGCUCAGGAUUAACGCUGGCGGCAUGCCUAAUACAUGCAAGUCGAACGGAAAAUAUAGAAGUGCUUGCACAUUUAUAUUUUUAGUGGCGAACGGGUGAGUAAUAUAUAGAUAACCUACCUUCCAGUUGGGGAUAACAGAGGGAAACUUCUGCUAACACCGAAUAUGAUAAAGAAACACAAGUAAUUUUAUUGAAAGGGGCUCCAAAGCCUCGCUAGAAGAGGGGUCUAUAUCGCAUUAGCUAGUUGGUAAGAUAACAGCCUACCAAGGCGAUGAUGCGUAGCUGUACUGAGAGGUAGAACAGCCACAUUGGGACUGAGAUACGGCCCAAACUCCUACGGGAGGCAGCAGUGGGGGAUAUUGCACAAUGGGGGAAACCCUGAUGCAGCGACGCCGCGUGAGCGAAGAAGUAUUUCGGUAUGUAAAGCUCUAUCAGCAGGGAAGAAAAUGACGGUACCUGACUAAGAAGCCCCGGCUAACUACGUGCUAGCAGCCGCGGUAAUACGUAGGGGGCAAGCGUUAUCCGGAUUUACUGGGUGUAAAGGGAGCGUAGACGGCAAGACAAGCCAGAUGUGAAAGGCAGGGGCUCAACCUCUGGAUUGCAUUUGGAACUGCCUGGCUAGAGUGUCGGAGAGGUAAGUGGAAUUCCUAGUGUAGCGGUGAAAUGCGUAGAUAUUAGGAGGAACACCAGUGGCGAAGGCGGCUUACUGGACGACAACUGACGUUGAGGCUCGAAAGCGUGGGGAGCAAACAGGAUUAGAUACCCUGGUAGUCCACGCGGUAAACGAUGAAUACUAGGUGUCGGGGACCAAAAGGUGUUCGGUGCCGCAGCAAACGCAAUAAGUAUUCCACCUGGGGAGUACGUUCGCAAGAAUGAAACUCAAAGGAAUUGACGGGGACCCGCACAAGCGGUGGAGCAUGUGGUUUAAUUCGAAGCAACGCGAAGAACCUUACCAAGUCUUGACAUCCCAAUGACAGGGACUUAACCGUCCCCUCUCUACGGAGCAUUGGAGACAGGUGGUGCAUGGUUGUCGUCAGCUCGUGUCGUGAGAUGUUGGGUUAAGUCCCGCAACGAGCGCAACCCUUAUCUUUAGUAGCCAGCAGGUAGAGCUGGGCACUCUAGAGAGACUGUCGGGGAUAACCCGGAGGAAGGUGGGGAUGACGUCAAAUCAUCAUGCCCCUUAUGAUUUGGGCUACACACGUGCUACAAUGGCGUAAACAAAGGGAAGCAACCCUGCGAAGGCAAGCAAAUCCCAAAAAUAACGUCUCAGUUCGGAUUGUAGUCUGCAACUCGACUACAUGAAGCUGGAAUCGCUAGUAAUCGCGGAUCAGAAUGCCGCGGUGAAUACGUUCCCGGGUCUUGCACUCACCGCCCGUCA
rnacentral:rRNA from 1 species